ACUCAAGGGAUCUCUGCCCAGUCAGCCAGGAAGAACGAGUCAGCUGUGCCCUGCUGAUGUUCAGAUUCCUAAGGGAAGAAGGAAGGAGCUUUAUCUUCUCCCACACAACACCACAACUUCACUUGUUCUUCCUGAUGAAAGUCAACUUGAAAACUGGAAAAUAUUCUGCACUUGCUCACUGGGAAGACAGAAAGAGUGACUGCUCCUCUACACAAGAUCUGACCAGCCAGUUGACCACUAAGCCUUGAUUUCUCCUCCCUCCAAAUGGAAUGUGGCCUGUCAAGUGUGUUUCAUGUGGCUCUGCAGUUCAUCAGCCUCCCUACAUCCUUCUGUUCCUCGUGCAAAAAAUGAGUUUCAGUAAGGAGAACCUCCUCUGCUGACAUAUUAAAUGCCCCUCUGCACUGCUCUCUUCUGCCAGUCUUUCACCUUUCAUUAGCAUUCAGCUUGCACUCACUCCAUGGUCUCAAGCAAAGCCAGUCUGUGUGGUGUAGCACACAUGCACCUUCCUUCAGGAGUAGAAAUUAAUCAGAAACUCAUCAGAGUACUCAGGGUCUUUCAAAAAUUAGUUUCCUGAGGUAAGAUUCAGUAUUUCCAUCCUGCCUCCAACUAAGAUUUUGGAAGGUUUGUGUGAUGGGAAGACAGGGGUAGGAACAGAGCCAUCCCUAUGUCCUAUGUAUGUGUCUUAAAAAAAAAAAAAAAAAAAGAUAAUCUAGAUGCCAUGUUCAGAAGGUUUUAAGUUCCACUUAAGAUUCACUUUAUGACCCCCUCUCACUUCUUUCUCCUCUCCUCCUAUCAAAGUAAUAAAUUCCUGAUAUCUUAUUGAUAGUGUUCUACGAAGAAACUGUUGUCUGUUCCUGAGUGCUGUUUGAGAUGAUGGAUGAGUUCACAACACCUGUUACUGCUACAUACGUGCAAGUAAUUUCCCCCUGCCUGUUUCACUGAAAUCUGUUCUUUUCUCACAAAGUCAAACAAUCUGCUUCCAUUACCAGUAAAUAUCUCCUAGAUAAGCUUUGGAAAGGUCCAAAACUAUUUAAUAACUUUCUCUUUGUACACUAAUAAGAUAGACUAGUGGGGGGAAAAAAGGUGUACAAGAAAUUUAAAUUGAAGCUACUUACAAAGAUAGCCCAGCAGAUUAAACUCCUCAUGCCAUGGAAAUGUUUUAUCUCUUCAGAGCAGAGAGCUAGCACUAAAUCUGAGUCCCAACAAAGCUCAUGCUAUUCCUUUAAUUAAGGCUAAAAGAGAACUUUUGUGAUCCACAGCUGUAUGCUUCCAUCUGCACAGAACUGAGUUUUACCUGAUUGCCCAUUUAACCAAAAAAAUUAGUUUACAAAUGUCUGCACUUAUCUCCUCCUCCUCUAGACAUUCAUUUAUCACCAGGAAUAUUCACUGAAAUAUUCUGGAAUUAUUAAGGAAAAGUUACAGGAACCAAUUUUAUAAUUCCUACAGUCCAUUAUUCAUCUCCAAAUAUGGUUUACAUUAAAUUGUAUUCAUCUAAACAGAGAACAGAAACACAAGAGACUAAUAUAUUCUGAUAAAUGUAAUCGAGGAAAACAGUUCAUAUUUUGACACCCAUAAAGAAGGUACCAUGCAGAAACUUCUGCUCUCCAGAGUUCCUUUCCUAUAUGCUGAAGAUCCUGAGUAAAGGAGCUGCAGACACUGAAA